rnacentral:rRNA from 4 species
AGCCUGAUGCAGCCAUGCCGCGUGUGUGAAGAAGGCCUUAGGGUUGUAAAGCACUUUCAGUAAGGAGGAAAGGUUAGUAGUUAAUACCUGCUAGCUGUGACGUUACUUACAGAAGAAGCACCGGCUAACUCCGUGCCAGCAGCCGCGGUAAUACGGAGGGUGCGAGCGUUAAUCGGAAUUACUGGGCGUAAAGCGUACGCAGGCGGUUUGUUAAGCGAGAUGUGAAAGCCCCGGGCUCAACCUGGGAACUGCAUUUCGAACUGGCAAACUAGAGUGUGAUAGAGGGUGGUAGAAUUUCAGGUGUAGCGGUGAAAUGCGUAGAGAUCUGAAGGAAUACCGAUGGCGAAGGCAGCCACCUGGGUCAACACUGACGCUCAUGUACGAAAGCGUGGGGAGCAAACAGGAUUAGAUACCCUGGUAGUCCACGCCGUAAACGAUGUCUACUUGGAACUGGGGUCUUCGGACAACUUUUCCAAAGCUAACGCAUUAAGUAGACCGCCUGGG